UUGACCUUGUCGAGCGCUAUUGACCUGGCCACCAAACCGUGUGCGUGCGCCAUAUGUCUGACAAACCGAGUGCCCACCUUCAACGAAACGUGUAUCAUGAGUGGUUACGGGACGGAGACCAACGGAAACCCCAUUCGUAGUGCGGUACCCUUGAAAUGGAUUACGCAAAAAAUCAUCCCACAAUCGAGCGUUUGCCCUAGAUUCUGCUUCGGAAGUUCCUGUACCAAUGUUAGCAACUACCUAUGCAGCCAAGGUGCGACAGGCCAGGAUCAGUGUAUCGGUGACACUGGCGGCCCGUUGGCUUGCUACGAUCCCACGCGUAACAACUAUUAUUUGGCCG